rnacentral:snRNA from 1 species
UGUACGAUAGACGAUUUAAAGAU